rnacentral:pre_miRNA from 1 species
CAAGUACUCCCUCCGUUCGGAAUUACUUGUCUCGAAAAUAGAUGUAUCUAGAACUAAAAUACAUCUAGAUACAUCCAUUUUCACGACAAGUAAUUCCGAACGGAGGGAGUAGGUG